UUUAAAGAUAGAGGAGUGCUCGAAAGAGAGCCGUAACACAGGUGCUGCAUGGCUGUCGUCAGCUCGUGUCGUGAGAUGUUGGGUUAAGUCCCGCAACGAGCGCAACCCUUGUCAUUAGUUGCUACAUUCAGUUGGGCACUCUAAUGAGACUGCCGGUGACAAACCGGAGGAAGGUGGGGAUGACGUCAAGUCCUCAUGGCCCUUAUAGGUGGGGCUACACACGUCAUACAAUGGAUGGUACAGAGGGUAGCCAACCCGCGAGGGGGGAGCCAAUCCCACAAAGCCGGUCGUAGUCCGGAUCGCAGUCUGCAACUCGACUGCGUGAAGUCGGAAUCGCUAGUAAUCGCGGAUCAGCAUGUCGCGGUGAAUACGUUCCCGGGUCUU
rnacentral:rRNA from 1 species